rnacentral:rRNA from 1 species
UCGAGGGGCAGCACGAUGUAGCAAUACAUUGGUGGCGACCGGCGCACGGGUGCGUAACACGUAUGGAAUCUGCCUUGUACUGGGAGAUAGCCCGGAGAAAUCCGGAUUAAUAUCCCAUAAUAAGUUGAGUGGCAUCACUUGGCUUUGAAAGCUCCGGCGGUACAAGAUGACCAUGCGCACGAUUAGCUAGUUGGUGAGGUAACGGCUCACCAAGGCUACGAUCGUUAGGGGGCCUGAGAGGGUUAUCCCCCACACUGGUACUGAGACACGGACCAGACUCCUACGGGAGGCAGCAGUGAGGAAUAUUGCGCAAUGGAGGCAACUCUGACGCAGCCAUGCCGCGUGCAGGAAGAAGGCGCUACGCGUUGUAAACUGCUUUUAACCGGGAAGAAACCCCAGGACGUGUCCUGGGUUGACGGUACCGGAGGAAUAAGCACCGGCUAACUUCGUGCCAGCAGCCGCGGUAAUACGAAGGGUGCAAGCGUUAUCCGGAUUCAUUGGGUUUAAAGGGUGCGUAGGUGGGGCGAUAAGUCAGUGGUGAAAUCUUGCGGCUUAACCGUAAAAUUGCCAUUGAUACUGUCGCUCUUGAGUAC